UACAGAGGGUGCGAGCGUUGUCCGGAAUCACUGGGCGUAAAGGGCGCGUAGGCGGCUUGGGAAGUCCGUGGUGAAAGCUCGUGGCUCAACUGCGAGUCGGCCAUGGAUACUCCUAAGCUCGAGUCGACUAGAGGCAGAUGGAAUUCCGGGUGUAGCGGUGGAAUGCGUAGAGAUCCGGAAGAACACCGGUGGCGAAGGCGGUCUGCUGGGGUCGAACUGACGCUGAGGCGCGACAGCGUGGGGAGCAAACAGG
rnacentral:rRNA from 1 species